UACGGGGGGGGCAAGCGUUGUUCGGAAUUACUGGGCGUAAAGGCUCGUAGGCGGCCAACUAAGUCGGAUGUGAAAUCCCCAAGCUUAACUUGGGAACUGCAUCCGAUACUGGAUGGCUUGAAUCCGGGAGAGGGAUGCAGAAUUCCAGGUGUAGCGGUGAAAUGCGUAGAUAUCUGGAGGAAUACCGGUGGCGAAGGCGGCAUCCUGGACCGGCAUUGACGCUGAGGAGCGAAAGCUAGGGGAGCAAACGGG
rnacentral:rRNA from 1 species